GGGGCCGUAGCUCAGCUGGGAGAGCACCUGCUUUGCAAGCAGGGGGUCGUCGGUUCGAUCCCGUCCG
rnacentral:tRNA from 1 species